CAACUUUAGAAGAAUUGUUGAUGCAUAAACAGAUAGCCAUCGAUGAUCCGGUGUUUUUUUUUUGAAAGAUGGUCCCUUAGGUCUCGAUUCAUUAACUAAGAUAGAAGAGAGUUGCCCGGUUAAUUAGCAGAAACCUGAGAAUAUACCGUUACAACACACCCCCAAGAGGACACCAACAACCCAUGCCGACCCCAAGGUCGCGCACCAGGCAAGCCAUCGACUCCGUCAACCGAG
rnacentral:lncRNA from 1 species